rnacentral:lncRNA from 1 species
UACAUGUACAAAAUAAAAUUUUUAUUUACUUAACAUAAUAUAUUUGUGUAACCGGUUCAUUGUAUAUUUAAGGUAUAUUUAAAUUCAUAUGAAACCAAAAUUUAAUUUAAAAUUAUAGAAAACAACAUAACCUCCAUCAGUAUACUUUAAUGUAGACUCAAAUUUCUGUAAAAUGAAAAACAUGAAGACCAUUUAAAGUGCUCACAAUAUAUCAAUACCACAUCUUUAUAACAUAGAGACAACUAUUUUUUUUUGUAUAACAUAAACAAGAAUUGUAAACAAGAAAAAUAUAUCUUAUUACAUAUAAUCUCUCCUGGUCUAAAACAUUUUAAAAGACAAAAAAAAAAAUCAUUAUCAUACACAUUUCUUGCAAAUGAAAUCCUAAAAUACAAACCACAUAAUUAUACAA